rnacentral:rRNA from 1 species
GGGUGCAAUCAUACCAGCACUAAUGCUUCGGAUCCCAUCAGAACUCCGCAGUUAAGCGUGCUUGGGCAAGAGUAGUACUAGGAUGGGUGACCUUCUAGGAAGAAUCAUGUUAUAUGCUUA